UCCAUAUUCAAACAUUCAACCAAACAACAAGUUCUAAAAUUUGCCUACCCAAACCUAUAUUGCCUAUCCAUUUUAACGACAAUGAUCAGAAUUAAUACUUAUCCAGAAUUAAACAAUAAUCAGUAUGUCACAAUCAAAACAGUGUUCAUCUUUUUAAUUUCCCAUUCCCACCCAGAUUUUAUUUAUGCCAACAUAAACUCAAGUCAUCUUCGACC
rnacentral:lncRNA from 1 species